rnacentral:rRNA from 1 species
GACGAACGCUGGCGGCGUACCUAAGACAUGCAAGUCGGACGGUCCCUCUAUGGGGGGACAGUGGCGGACGGGUGAGGAACGCGUGGGGAACCUGUCUUUGGGUGGGGGAUACCGCAUUGAAAGAUGCGCUAAGACCGCAUAAGGUCGCGCGGGGAAGGUCCGUGCGAAGAAAGGCCCCUGGGGGACCAGGGGACGCCGAAAGAGGGACCUGCGUCCGAUUAGCUAGUUGGUGAGGUAAGAGCCCACCAAGGCGACGAUCGGUCGCUGGUCUGAGAGG